GGAGAUUCUCACGAAUGAGACAAGCUUCUUUACACAUUACCAUUUAAAUCAAGCUACCUUGAAUGGAGCUUUGGAUCUCCAGAUCUGUUUCCAUGGCAAAGGACUUGGUAAGUUCUCCGGUUUUGUUAAAAUUUUGUAGCAUGAUCUCACUGUGAGCAGACCCUUUUUUCUAGGGAUCCAUGUUAUGUUGCCUUCUGUAUUAGUGUGCUGCUGAUGUGUUCAAAAGACUGAAAAAAUCAACAGCCCAGUUUCAACUGUCAUAAGCUGGCUCUCUCAUCUUGCUCUUGUCCAAGCUAGUUACGCAAUUGCACGUUGCUUACUUGGUUUGGUGUUUAAAAGGUUUGACUACUACUCUCUUAUCCCAUACACUAGCAAAUCUUCAGGUUAAGGUGGAUUGGAAUUUGCUUGGGGCAUAGUGGCUGGGAGGCCUUAACCUUAUAGCUAUUAGCCGUGAAUAUAUCCUGUUCGAUUGUACUUGGACCUUAAACGUUUUAAUAGAUUUAUUCAGCAUGUUUGUCUGAUUUACCUCUUGACAGAUUAAGGAGCACUGCCAUCAGAAUAACACUUUGAAUUGAAAGGAAUCAACUUUUUAGUUGAGUGUGGCUUGGGUUACGUACUUAUGUUGGAUGGUAGCAUAAAAUGGGUGAAGAGAAAUAGAGAUAAAGUGUAGCAAGAAGAGUACCCUUCUGAAUCUUAUGUGGAUUUCUUAUGAUGUUUGUGAACAGUAAUGCUGAAUCAUAAAAUAUGCUUUAUCAGUGUCUUGGUUAGAGGUAGCUAAGAGAUUGCGAAGGGUGAGGGAGGAGGUAAGAAUGAUAUUGAAAUGGUCUCCUAGAGUGUAUCCCAAAACUGCUGUCUCUUGCUUUUCUGUAUCUGGGUUUUGUAUGAAACUCAUGAAAUUUAUUAGCAUAGGUGAUGGUUUACCUUGAUUAUCUGCUUUUUUCUCUUAAUGUGGUUCCUUUUUUUAUUUUGGAAACUUUUCAGGUAUGGCUUGGUCUUGGAAAAACAGUUCUCACAAAUAUAUCCAAAAUCCUAAGCUUGGCCAUAUCCAGGUUUUAGAGUACACUGGUCUUAUGUAACCCAAAGACAUGUUUCCCCUUUAAGUUAAAAACUUAUCUAAACGCAGUAAACAACUGUUUUCCAAGACUUCCCAAAACUCAACUUAUGCCAAAAAAACAUUCCAGGAACUCAACAAAAAACUAACUCAGAAUGUUUUAACAUUUGAAUGGAGAAAGCACAAUUCGGAGCCCUACAGCAAUC
rnacentral:lncRNA from 1 species